AGCCUUCUGUAUCCGUGCCAAGAUUCCAUCACAAACCAGACCACAAGGGUUGAUGAGACUCCCAAGAUAAGUGAAGCG
rnacentral:pre_miRNA from 1 species